rnacentral:lncRNA from 1 species
UUCUUUCUUGUGUUACCUCUGUACUUAAGUUGUAGCAAACCCUUGGUUUUAUUUUCUUUGAAAUUAUACAGGGACGCAGGAACAAGCAGCUUACAGACAAUAAAGAAACCACUUCAUGUGUAAUUACAGCUCACAAACACACAACUUCCAGAUGGCUGGAGUGCACAGCAGGACUGAAGGCUGCCAGGUGCACCGACAGUUUUGUCAUCUGUGAAAUGGAAAUGAUGUUAUCUCCUGAGGAGCAUUAUUAGGAGAAUUCACUGCAGACAUCUAAAAAAAAUGCUUAGAACAUGACAUAAUGCACAACAAAUCACUGGCUAAUAUUGCCCUGGCAUGUGCAUAAAGGAUUGAAGAGAGAGUCUGAAGGAAUACAUUUGCUCAUUCGACAUUCAUUGAACUCCUGCUGUACAUUGUACUCUGCUGGGCAAGAAGGGUAGAUUGUCUCUGCUGCUCUGGUCCCUGGGGCAAGAAGUGUGGCCCUGGGCAGAGGGUCACCCUGAUAAUUUACAGAGACUGGGCCCUCUAGGCUUCCAUGUCAAAUGUAUAAUAAAGGAAGGCUUGACGAAGCUUUUGUGAAUGGGCCAGACCUGACAGCUGCCGGGCGGGACCUCCUUCUGCAUGGGAGUAGGCAGUUACUGGAAAAGGAUAUGUGGACCAGAGCCAAACACUAAGACUGCAGGCACUCUCUUGACUUCUCCACAUAGUUUCCCCACUUGCAAAAUGGAGAAGGCUUGCAGGUGAUUACUGCAAUGAUUAAAGAAGGUAAAAAGUGUCAAUAAUACUGACUUCCCUCCAAGCCCCCCAAGGACAGAGCAGAAAACACUAACAGCCAGUGGGAUCUCUCCGUGAAGAUUGAGGCAGGACACUUCCAGGCCUUCUUUUUAGCUGACAAGUGAAUGAGCUGUGGGAAUUUGGCAUGUGAUGAAACUGACUUCUCCAUUCAGUACAGAAACCGUGGAUUCUUCACUCAAAGGUGUUGGGACAACUCGCUGCCAGCGGAGGGAGGGGAAUCCCUAACAGUUUACAUCAAAUGAAACUCCCAAUGGCAAAAAGAUAUAAAUGCAGAGAAC